rnacentral:rRNA from 1 species
UACGAAGGGGGCUAGCGUUGCUCGGAAUCACUGGGCGUAAAGGGCGCGUAGGCGGCCUCUUAAGUCGGGGGUGAAAGCCCAGGGCUCAACCCUGGAAUUGCCUUCGAUACUGGGAGUCUUGAGUUCGGAAGAGGUUGGUGGAACUGCGAGUGUAGAGGUGAAAUUCGUAGAUAUUCGCAAGAACACCAGUGGCGAAGGCGGCCAACUGGUCCGAUACUGACGCUGAGGCGCGAAAGCGUGGGGAGCAAACAGG